AUUGAACGCUGGCGGCAGGCCUAACACAUGCAAGUCGAGCGAGCGGCGGACGGGUGAGGAAUGUAUGGGGACUGCCCGAUAGAGGGGGAUAACUACUGGAAACGGUGGCUAAUACCGAAUACUAUAGGAUAACCCAUAUGGGAUUAGCUAGUAGGUGGGGUAAAGGCUCACCUAGGCGACGAUCUCUAGCUGGUCUUAGAGGAUGAUCAGCUACAAUGGUGCUGUGACACGGUCCAUACUCCUACGGAGGCAGCAUUGGGGAAUGUUGCACAAUGGGCGGAAGCCUGAUGCAGCCAUGCAGCGUGUAUGAAGGAGGCCUUGUGGUUGUAAAGUACUUUCAGCGGGUAGGCGUUACCCGCAGAAGAAGCACCGGCUAACUCCGUGCCAGCAGCCGCGGUAAUAC
rnacentral:rRNA from 1 species